rnacentral:rRNA from 1 species
CGGGAUGCCUAGAGCGGCGAACGGGUGAGUAACACGUAGGUAAUCUGCCGUACGAUUGGGGAUAGCCCAGUGGAGGGGUGGGGUAAUACCGAAUACGACCUUCGGGGGAAAGGCGCUUCGGCGCCGUCGUACGAUGAGCCUGCGGCGCAUUAGUUAGUUGGCGGGGUAAAAGCCCACCAAUGCGACGAUGCGUAGCCGACCUGAGAGGGUGAUCGGCCACACUGGGACUGAGAUACGGCCCAGACUCCUACGGGAGGCAGCAGCGUGAGAAUCUUCCGCAAUGGACGCAAGUCCGACGGAGCGACGCCGCGUGGGCGAGGAAGGCCGAAAGGUUGUAAAGCCCUUUUCUGCGUGAGGAAUAAGGUAAGGAGGGAAUGCCUUACUGAUGACGGUAGCGCAGGAAUAAGCCCCGGCCAAUUACGUGCCAGCAGCCGCGGUAACACGUAUGGGGCGAGCGUUGUUCGGAAUUAUUGGGCGUAAAGGGCGCGCAGGCGGUCAUGCAAGCUUGGUGUGAAAGACCACGGCUCAACGGUGGAAACGCGCUGAGAACUGUAUGACUUGAGUUACGGAGGGGGAGCUGGAAUUCCAGGUGUAGGGGUGAAAUCUGUAGAUAUCUGGAAGAACAUCAGUGGCGAAGGCGAGCUCCUGGGCGGGAACUGACGCUGAGGCGCGAAAGCGUGGGGAGC